GCUUACGGCCAUACCAGCCCAAGAACGCCCGGUCUCAUCUGAUCUCGGAAGCUAAGAAGGCUUGGCCCUGGUUAGUUACUUGGAUGGGAGACCUCCUGGGAAUACCAGGUGCUGUAAGCU
ensembl:rRNA 5S_rRNA 5S ribosomal RNA